CCUACGGGUGGCAGCAGUGGGGAAUAUUGCGCAAUGGGCGAAAGCCUGACGCAGCGACGCCGCGUGAGGGAUGAAGGUCUUCGGAUCGUAAACCUCUGUCAGCAGGGAAGAACGGUCACUGUGCUAAGCAGCAGUGAAUUGACGGUACCUGCAAAGGAAGCACGGGCUAACUACGUGCCAGCAGCCGCGGUAAUACGUAGGGGGCAAGCGUUAUCCGGAUUUACUGGGGGUAAAGGGAGCGUAGACGGCAAGGCAAGCCAGAGGGGAAAGGGCAGGGCUCAACCCUGUACAUGCUUUUGGAUCUUUGGUGCUAGCGUGCAGGAGAGGUAAGUGGCCUUCCUCGUGUAGCGGU
rnacentral:rRNA from 1 species